GAUGGACGCUGGCGGCGUGCCUAAUACAUGCAAGUCGAGCGAACAGAUAAGGAGCUUGCUCCUUUGACGUUAGCGGCGGACGGGUGAGUAACACGUGGGUAACCUACCUAUAAGACUGGGAUAACUUCGGGAAACCGGAGCUAAUACCGGAUAAUAUUUCGAACCGCAUGGUUCGAUAGUGAAAGAUGGUUUUGCUAUCACUUAUAGAUGGACCCGCGCCGUAUUAGCUAGUUGGUAAGGUAACGGCUUACCAAGGCGACGAUACGUAGCCGACCUGAGAGGGUGAUCGGCCACACUGGAACUGAGACACGGUCCAGACUCCUACGGGAGGCAGCAGUAGGGAAUCUUCCGCAAUGGGCGAAAGCCUGACGGAGCAACGCCGCGUGAGUGAUGAAGGUCUUCGGAUCGUAAAACUCUGUUAUUAGGGAAGAACAUACGUGUAAGUAACUGUGUACGUCUUGACGGUACCUAAUCAGAAAGCCACGGCUAACUACGUG
rnacentral:rRNA from 1 species